AUGGGUGCUGGGUUCUAAAAGAAAUCAGGCUAAACCAGCCAUGAGGAGCAAGGGAAUAUGCAGUACUAGUUCUCUGCACCAUCAGUUCCUGCCCCUGGGUUCCUGCCCUGCCUUGACUUCCAUUCUUGAUGAGGAAGAAUAAGCUGAUUAAACCCUUUCCCCCCAAGUUGUUUUGGUCAUGGUGUUUCCUCACAGGAAUAAUAACCCUGACUAAGACACCCUUUGACAUGGAUGUACCACGAAUGAUUUGAAUUCAGUCUAGCAGUAAUGAGGUAAGCAAGGUGUGGUAGUUUGAAUGAAAAUGGCCUCCAUUGACUCAUGUAUUUAGAUGCUUGGUCCCUAGUUGUGAAAGGGCAGCAUAAAUCCCAUUUGUCUCUAUUUAAAGAUCAGACCUUAGAAGGCCAAAAGACACCAGAGUUAGAAAUAGACCAAAAGUCUCAGAAACUAAGUCGUAAGACACCGACUCUAAGAACAGAUCCUAAAAUCUAGAACAAGACAUAAACACCUCUCCCAAAGAACAGCUUAGAGAUAACCACAAAAAUGGAGAAAUAUCUUAUCUCAAAAUGGACCGCCUACACUUGCACAGACCUGUUUCAUCAUAUGGUUAAACAUUCAUGACGUGAGAAUGUAGACCACUGACCACCUGUGACUCCCUAACACCCACCAGUAAAAUUUUAGAUUACCUAAUCCUUCUAGAGAGUUCCUGAUUCCCUAUAAAAAGGCCUGUGUGCCUUUGUCAGGGGUUGCCAUUUAGGAGAAUGAUUGACCCCCACAUGUUGGUUGUUUCUGCAGAAUAAACGCUUUUUGGUUUUACUUAC
rnacentral:lncRNA from 1 species